UUAAUCAUUAAGGUUUAUCUUCCUGCCCCUGCUUAAAAGCUAUGGGCUGAUAUAUCCAUGGGACAGCCUUUUCAUCUUUAUAUUCGAAUGGUGCUGGGAACUCUAUCACCAACGGGCUUAUAGGUAUUUCUACUUCAACCUCAUCAUAGGGGAUAUUUACCACGGCUAUCUCUUCCUGACGCUUGCUCUUGACACGGUAAGUUAUCUGUAACUCGCCUUGAUCCAGCAUUUGUU
rnacentral:lncRNA from 1 species